rnacentral:rRNA from 1 species
UACGUAGGGAGCAAGCGUUGUUCGGAUUUACUGGGCGUAAAGGGCGCGUAGGCGGCGCGGUAAGUCACUGGUGAAAUCUCUGAGCUUAACUCAGAACGGCCAAGUGAUACUGCAGUGCUAGAGUGCAGAAGGGGCAAUCGGAAUUCUUGGUGUAGCGGUGAAAUGCGUAGAUAUCAAGAGGAACACCUGAGGUGAAGACGGGUUGCUAGGCUGACACUGACGCUGAGGCGCGAAAGCCAGGGGAGCAAACGGG